GUGAGGAAUAUUGGACAAUGGGCGCAAGCCUGAUCCAGCCAUGCCGCGUGCAGGAAGACGCAUCUAUGGUGUGUAAACUGCUUUUGUACGGGAAGAAACACUCCCUCGUGAGGGAGCUUGACGGUACCGUAAGAAUAAGGAUCGGCUAACUCCGUGCCAGCAGCCGCGGUAAUACGGAGGUUCCAAGCGUUAUCCGGAAUCAUUGGGUUUAAAGGGUCCGUAGGCGGUUUAAUAAGUCAGUGGUGAAAGCCCAUCGCUCAACGAUGGAACGGCCAUUGAUACUGUUAGACUUGAAUUACAAGGAAGUAACUAGAAUAUGUAGUGUAGCGGUGAAAUGCUUAGAUAUUACAUGGAAUACCAAUUGCGAAGGCAGGUUACUACUUGUGGAUUGACGCUGAUGGACGAAAGCGUGGGGAGCGAACAGGAUUAGAAACCCGUGUAGUCC
rnacentral:rRNA from 1 species